UUCAUAUCUGAGACCAAACUUUUUGGAGGAAGGUAUUUAAUCUCAAUAUUGACUGGAUGUCAUAAUGUUUUUCCUUAAGGAUAAUACCAAAAAUAUCCAUACCUUACCCUUUGCCUUUCAUACAGCUGCAAGUUUGUGUUAGCAAGACAUACAGAAGUUUCAGCAAUGGCCUUAUUCAUUUAUGUCAAUGACCUUCAUUUGUUCUUUACCUAAACACUUAACCGCUUUACAAGAAAUCUUUUUUUUUUGCCAAUCCACUGUGGGGAACAUCAGGUACUAAUGAAAUGCAAAACUGUCAUCCUACUGUGCAUAUGCUUGUUUGGUGUGAGUCUGUCUCUUGUGUGGGGCAUGGCUGGCAGAUCAUUUCUGCUCAAAAGGAAAAAGUAUGAGAAGCAACAUCAAAUCAUUUUGUACAUCUGAAGUGGUAAUGAGUAUCAAAUGCUGUUAGAUAUUAUUUUAUGCUCCAAGUUACUUAACCUUGUCUCUGUACUACAGAUCUUGAAUCUCCACAUCUCCCUCUAUUGAUCAAAUCCAUCCCUCACGGAUUUUUGUGCAAUUCUAUGGUAGCUGUUAGUGUCUAGAAUUCACAGGGUUUCCAUUACACGCAAUGACCCUCAGUCACUCGCCGUUUUUCUUCCUGCACGGGGUUCCAUACACCUCUUUCACGGAAUUUCGAGCAGGGACUCCGCAGUCCCUUAUGGAUUUUUGUGUGGGAAAAUACAUGCCAUCCAUAGCCGCGCUGCCGCAGUAGAAUAAUUCCAUUAAUUCAAUGAAACUUGAAAUGUAGGUAUUAUUAAUUUGUGCUGUGCUCCACAGCACAAAUUAAGGGGGAAAACCAUUCAAGUACAACUCAAAACCAUUUAUUUCUCGAUCUCUGCAUUGGCCAGGCUACAGACUCGUUGCCAUAGCAACUGACAACAACGCCCCUAAAAGAUACUGAAAUAUUUCCCACACAAAGAACAUAACAUUCUGUGAUGUUCACAUUGUACUGUUUUCUGUUUGAGCCAAUCCUAGUCACGCCCCUCAUUUCCGUUAUUCCUCGCGCCUGCGUUGCUUCCUGAUUGUCUCCUCCGAUCCAGAAGGUGGGGCCAUGCCACCCAUUAUCUGGUGGACUGGGAGGGUUAUGGGCCAGAGGAGCGCUCAUGGGUUCCGUCCCGCCACAUUGUGGACAAGACCCUCAUCAGGGAUUUCCAUCGUGAUCACCCCGACCAGCCUGGUGGUCCUUCAGGGGCCGGACCUUGAGGAGGGGGUACUGUGAUGUUCACAUUGUACUGUUUUCUGUUUGAGCCAAUCCUAGUCACGCCCCUCAUUUCCGUUAUUCCUCGCACCUGCGUUGCUUCCUGAUUGUCUCCCUUCUUAAGCCUCUCUCAGUCGCAACCACACUGCCAGAUUAUCGAACGCUUUCAGCAAGUAGUUUUCCAGCACUUUUACCUCGCCCUCAUAGCCACGACCACGCUUUGUUCCUCGGACCUGCCCCUUUUGCCUUGCCCUUGUCGGACUGUUACUACCGCCCUUCUGGAUCUCGACCCACGCCUGUUUCAGUUACACCGCUCUCGCCCACUCCCACGGAUUCUACCCUUAGCCCCGAUCGUGCAUGACCUCGGCCCGUCUGACUAAGGAUUCGGAUCUGGAUUUGGUUCUUCUGCUGCCUAACUAGUUUGUAUGCUGCCCUGCAUCAGCGCUUCCUUCCCCAGGCUCUUCCUGCCAAGCUCUGCGUCAGCGCAGCAUCCACGCUCCUCCUGGUUCCUCAGCCGAUCACUUCAGUUACUGAUCGCCAAGCCAGUGCUGCAGCGGACGAUCCUGCGUGCCCGGUUUAAGCUGCCUUUUAAUAAAUAUCAGAGUUUUCUGCUCA